rnacentral:rRNA from 1 species
AAGAAAUCAACCGAGAUUCCCCCAGUAGCGGCGAGCGAACGGGGAGGAGCCCAGAGCCUGAAUCAGCAUGUGUGUUAGUGGAAGCGUCUGGAAAGGCGCGCGAUACAGGGUGAGAGCCCCGUACACAAAAGCGCAUAUGCUGUGAGCUCGAUGAGUAGGGCGGGACACGUGGUAUCCUGUCUGAAUAUGGGGGGACCAUCCUCCAAGGCUAAAUACUCCUGACUGACCGAUAGUGAACCAGUACCGUGAGGGAAAGGCGAAAAGAACCCCGGCGAGGGGAGUGAAACAGAACCUGAAACCGUG